rnacentral:rRNA from 1 species
CGCGAAUUCGCCCUUCGGGGUGCAGCAGGCGCGAAAACUUUACAAUGCUGGCAACAGCGAUAAGGGGACCUUGAGUGCCAGGAUACAAUCCUGGCUGUCGUGAUGCCUAAAAAGCAUUAUAUAGCAAGGGCCGGGCAAGACCGGUGCCAGCCGCCGCGGUAACACCGGCGGCUCGAGUGGUAACCGCUAUUAUUGGGUCUAAAGGGUCUGUAGCCGGCUUGGUUAGUCUCUUGGGAAAUCCGGCAGCUUAACUGUCGGGCUUUCAGGAGAUACUGCCAGGCUCGAGACCGGGAGAGGUGAGAGGUACUUCAUGGGUAGGGGUGAAAUCUUGUAAUCCUUGAAGGACCACCAGUGGCGAAGGCGUCUCACCAGAACGGAUCUGACGGCAAGGGACGAAAGCUAGGGGCACGAACCGGAUUAGAUACCCGGGUAGUCCUAGCCGUAAACGAUACUCGCUAGGUGUCGGCCACGGUGCGACCGUGGUCGGUGCCGUAGGGAAGCCGUGAAGCGAGCCACCUGGGAAGUACGGCCGCAAGGCUGAAACCUAAAGGAAUUGGCGGGGGAGCAC